rnacentral:rRNA from 1 species
UAGGGAAUAUUGGACAAUGGGGGGAACCCUGAUCCAGCCAUGCCGCGUGGAGGAAGACUGCCCUCUGGGUUGUAAACUCCUUUUAUAUGGGAAGAACCGUCCUCAUUGAUGAGUGACCUGACGGUACCAUAGGAAUAAGCACCGGCUAACUCCGUGCCAGCAGCCGCGGUAAUACGGAGGGUGCAAGCGUUAUCCGGAUUCACUGGGUUUAAAGGGUGCGUAGGCGGAUAUGUAAGUCAGUGGUGAAAUCAACGGGCUCAACCUGUUAACUGCCAUUGAUACUGUGUAUCUUGAAUAUGAGAGAGGUAGGCGGAAUGUUGCAUGCAGCGGUGAAAUGCUUAGAUAUGCUACGGAACACCGAUUGCGAAGGCAGCUUACUAUUUCGUAAUUGACGCUGAGGCACGAAAGCGUGGGUAGCGAACA